CCGCACCCCCGCCCGCACCCCGACCACUCCUUCCUUCUCGCCUCCUUCCCUCCCUCGCUGCCCUGCGCCUCCCUUUCCCGAUUCUGCCUCCCAGCCUUCCUCCGUCUCGCGCGCUCCUUGCAGGUCCGCGUCCAUACCGUCCAGCCCCAGCCCAGCCCGCAGGUGGGGGACAGUCGCGGCCGCUGUCCAGGUCCGGUCUCCGACGCUCGAGGACAGAAGCAGCCACGGGCAGGAGCAGAACCAGCCCCCGGGGAGCCUCCUGGACCCUCCCACGCGGCAGGUUCCGCCGAACCCGGCUUAGGUGAGCUCCAACUGUAGCAUGGAUCCCUUAGGAGACGUACUAAUGGGGGGCAAAAGUUCUAUCAGGAGGUAAGAGGAGUUAUUACUUUGUCCAUUACCCGCCUGGGAUUUGUUCAUCGUCUGUCCGAAGUUUUUCAGUCUCGCCUGCGUUUUUAAGGCUUUUGCGUGUGUUAGCGACUACGAUGGCAAGUGGACAGUGUGUAAACUAACCUGCCCUCCUAUAGAUUUCCGACAGUCAGUCAGCAAAACAUCCUGACUAAUACACAGAAAGGAAUUCAGUCAUUGAAGCGAAGGUAGCGUGUUAACUCUGCCUUGACUCUGAGAAACGCCAUCUUCAACUCUAAGGGCAGCCAAGCUUUCCCAGGUGUGGGCGCCUUACCUUCCCCGAGUUUUUGGUGGGUGGAUUGUGUGCCUGUCUCAUAGUUUUUAAAGAGC
rnacentral:lncRNA from 1 species